rnacentral:rRNA from 1 species
UUGGAGGGCAAGUCUGGUGCCAGCAGCCGCGGUAAUUCCAGCUCCAAUAGCGUAUAUUAAAGUUGUUGCAGUUAAAAAGCUCGUAGUUGAAUUUCGGGAUUGACACAUCGGUCGUGCCUUAAGGGGUAUGAACUUGUGUAGUCAAUUUCUCACCUUCUGGAGAACCGCGCUGUCCUUAAUUGGGUGACGCGGGGAACCAGGACCUUUACUUUGAAAAAAUUAGAGUGUUUAAAGCAGGCAUUUUGCUUGAUUACAUUAGCAUGGAAUAAUAAAAUAGGACGGCAUGAUUCUAUUUUGUUGGUUUCUAGGAUCACCGUAAUGAUUAAUAGGGAUAGUUGGGGGCAUUAGUAUUCAAUUGUCAGAGGUGAAAUUCUUGGAUUUAUUGAAGACUAACUACUGCGAAAGCAUUUGCCAAGGAUGUUUUCAUUAAUCAAGAACGAAAGUUAGGGGAUCGAAGACGAUCAGAUACCGUCGUAGUCUUAACCAUAAACUAUGCCGACUAGGAAUCAGACGAUGUUAAUUUUUUAAUGACUCGUUUGGCGCCUUACGGGAAACCAAAGUGUUUGGGUU